rnacentral:rRNA from 1 species
CAACGCUGGCGGCGUGCUUACACAUGCAAGUCGAGCGGAAAGGCCUUUCGGGGUACUCGAGCGGCGAACGGGUGAGUAACACGUGAGUAACCUGUCCUUGGCUUUGGGAUAACCCUCGGAAACGGGGGCUAAUACCGGAUAUGACCUUUGCCUGCAUGGGUGGGGGUGGAAAGUUUUUUCGGCUAGGGGUGGGCUCGCGGCCUAUCAGCUUGUUGGUGGGGUGAUGGCCUACCAAGGCGACGACGGGUAGCCGGCCUGAGAGGGCGACCGGCCACACUGGGACUGAGACACGGCCCAGACUCCUACGGGAGGCAGCAGUGGGGAAUAUUGCACAAUGGGCGGAAGCCUGAUGCAGCGACGCCGCGUGAGGGAUGACGGCCUUCGGGUUGUAAACCUCUUUCAGCAGGGACGAAGCGUGAGUGACGGUACCUGCAGAAGAAGCGCCGGCCAACUACGUGCCAGCAGCCGCGGUAAGACGUAGGGCGCGAGCGUUGUCCGGAUUUAUUGGGCGUAAAGAGCUCGUAGGCGGCUUGUUGCGUCGACCGUGAAAACCCGGGGCUCAACUUCGGGCUUGCGGUCGAUAC